rnacentral:rRNA from 1 species
UAACGCGUGGGUAACCUGCCUUACACUGGGGGAUAACACUUAGAAAUAGGUGCUAAUACCGCAUAAGCGCACGGCUCCGCAUGGGGCAGUGUGAAAAACUCCGGUGGUAUACGAUGGAUCCGCGUCUGAUUAGCUAGUUGGCGGGGUAACGGCCCACCAAGGCAGCGAUCAGUAGCCGGCCUGAGAGGGUGGACGGCCACAUUGGGACUGAGACACGGCCCAAACUCCUACGGGAGGCAGCAGUGGGGAAUAUUGCACAAUGGGGGAAACCCUGAUGCAGCGACGCCGCGUGAGUGAAGAAGUAUCUCGGUACGUAAAGCUCUAUCAGCAGGGAAGAAAAUGACGGUACCUGACUAAGAAGCCCCGGCUAACUACGUGCCAGCAGCCGCGGUAAUACGUAGGGGGCAAGCGUUAUCCGGAUUUACUGGGUGUAAAGGGAGCGUAGACGGCAGCACAAGUCUGGAGUGAAAUCCCGGGGCUUAACCCCGGAACUGCUUUGGAAACUGUGCGGCUGGAGUGCAGGAGGGGUAAGCGGAAUUCCUAGUGUAGCGGUGAAAUGCGUAGAUAUUAGGAGGAACACCGGUGGCGAAGGCGGCUUACUGGACUGUAACUGACGUUGAGGCUCGAAAGCGUGGGGAGCAAACAGGAUUAGAUACCCUGGUAGUCCACGCCGUAAACGAUGAUUACUAGGUGU